ensembl:lncRNA
AAUGGGUUAACUUGGUAUGCCCAAGUUUCAGGCCAACACCUUUCACAAGCAAAUAAUGAGAGAAGGGCUCAUCUGAAGCAAUUGCUUCUUUACCCUCAAAGGAGAAAGUGAUAGAAGAGAAGGGAAGGAAAGAAGGAAAGAAAAACAGAAAAAAAUGAUCGUUUCUGUACUAUUUCACAGGUAUGCUUACCGUCAAAUCUAGCAUUGUAGUGGUGACAUGAGUUCAUUACAAAUAGAGGCAAAGAAUGCAGAAAAUAAUGAGUUUUGACCCUAAAGGUUGAAAUACUCACAGGUUUAGUGUUUUGAGCAAGGCAAUGAUCCAAAGCCUAUAAAACCAGAAGAAAAACAGCCUUUGGCUGCAGUGGGCAUUGCAUCAGGCUUUCAUAUGACUAACCAUCAGCAGACUUCAUUAAGCCAAGGAGGAAUAAGACACUCUGUGUGUUUGCAACUUUUCCUUCUGUUGAGCAGACAUUCCCACCGCUGGAUGCAAUGGAGAUGUCCUCACACAACUGGUGGAAAGGGAUCUACCUGUGGUUUGCAACUGCUACUUCUCAAUAAGCCAUCACAAGAGAGAGAAUUAGUAGAGACUCCAUUGUCAUAUACCCCAAGUCUGAACUCUAGUUUAUAUUUAAACAAGCACAGGAGAGAGUUGAAAGACUCUAAGACCCCAGUGAACUGGGGAUCACUUGUUCUAAAUUGGAAGGCGAAUGUCAAAAGAUCAGAUUACAAGUGUCUACCAGGGUGUUUUCACUGUGUGGUGGGUCAGCUGGAGUUCAGGCUCUGCAAAUACCAAGGAGGUGGUUCCAGAGCAGUAAGCACUUGAGCAAUCCCUAGCACCGAUGGUCUGAACUCGGGAAGGAUUUCAUAGCAUAUCUGUAAGCCAAAGCUUCUUCAGCUGUUAAUUUAAUAAAGAAGAGUGAGCCACUGAGUAAGUCCCUGGAAGAUAGACUAAAUCAGACUAAUUUGUUAUAUAAUCCCUUUUUAAUGUGGAGAAUUAAGGUGACGGCAAGAUGGCUGUGUUUAAUACUCCGAAUAAUUACUGGCAGUUAUUGACAUUGAAGAUGGGAGAGAGCAAGUUAAUUUCUACUUGUUGUUUUCAACACGUGCCAAACUCUUACUUCACACCAGCAAGGAAAGGCUAGAAGUUGUGUAUUCCAUAUGCAUGAAGUAACAGUUGGCACAAAUCACUGAGGGGAGAAAAAUAAGAACCACUAAAGCCCAGCAACCCAAACUGUCACUCGCUGACAAAUUUUUGACUCUCACUGCUGAAGAAACAAUAACAUAAAGGCUGAAUGUAGAAUAUUCCACCUAAGUAAACCCACAUUUCUGAUCUUCUUUGAGGUAACUGUUUUGCUGAGGAAGCAACAAUAGCUUCAGGUGUCCAACCUCCUCCUUUCCUCUCUUGGGAAGGACCAUCACAGCCAGUCCCAGAGUGGGAUGGGAAUGAAGCAGCAGAGGCUGAUGAGAAUGCCUUUCUUCAACUGAGGGCGUGAAAGAACAAUUUCCCAUUGCUAGGAAUGGAGGUGCUGAGUUAACAUCAACUUUGCAGACUGUGUUGAUUUUCUGCGUGGUUCACUCUAGGCUUCCUAUAACAGACAGCUUAUUAUCUCGCCUUGUGAAAAUCAUACUUGACUUCUGGGAGACGUCUAUCAAAAGGAAAGAAUAGACUGAGAAGCUGGUACUUUCGAUCUAAUUAUCUGGGUUGGUGGUUGUUCAGUGAACCUAUUAACUGCUUGAAGUGACUUGCAUCUUCACAGGUACAGUAUGCAUGAUCAUUCUCUGCACUAUUUAAAUGGGAAAUGCUACAGCUGUUAUGUGUCCCAGUCUGUUUUCUCCUCACUUGGUUCCCAAAUGCAUCUGGCUUCACUCAUGAGGAACAGUAGAGCCCAUCUUGCAUCUUCUGAACUAAUGACUGUAGGUGAAUGUUCCCAACUCCCCUUAUCUCUUA